GGUGAACGCUGGCGGUGGGCCUAACACAUGCAAGUCGAGCGGCCACACAAUGAGCUUUCUCCCCUAACGGUAGCGACUGACGGGUGAGUAACACAUGCAUAACCUUCCUAUUUUUCGUGGAGGACUUCGGGAAACCGCUGCCACUAAUAGAGCAUAUGAUCAACCGCAGGGAUCAAUAGUUCAUGGCGGUUUUGCCGUCAGUUUGAGAUGGAGUCGCGCCGCAUUAGCUAGUUGGUAAGGUAACGGCCUACCAAGGCAACGAUGCGUAGCCGACCUGAGAGGGUGAUCGGCCACACUGGAACUGAGACACGGUCCAGACUCCUACGGGAGGCAGCAGUAGGGAAUCUUCCGCAAUGGGCGAAAGCCUGACGGAGCAACGCCGCGUGAGUGAUGAAGGUCUUCGGAUCGUAAAGCUCUGUUAUUAGGGAAGAACAAAUGUGUAAGUAACUAUGCCCGUCUUGACGGUACCUAAUCAGAAAGCCACGGCUAACUACGUG
rnacentral:rRNA from 1 species